rnacentral:rRNA from 1 species
GAACGCGAAGAACCUUACCCGGGCUUGAACUAACGGUGACGAAUCUAGAGAUAGAUUUUUCUUCGGACACCGUUGGAGGUGCUGCAUGGUUGUCGUCAGCUCGUGCCGUGAGGUGUCGGCUUAAGUGCCAUAACGAGCGCAACCCUUCUCCUCGGUUGCCAUCGGGUAAUGCCGGGCACUCCGUGGACACUGCCAUCGUAAGAUGUGAGGAAGGUGGGGAUGACGUCAAAUCAGCACGGCCCUUACGUCCGGGGCUACACACGUGUUACAAUGGGGGGUACAGAAGCCGCUACCCGGCGACGGGAUGCUAAUCUUUAAAACCUCUCUCAGUUCGGAUCGGAGUCUGCAACCCGACUCCGUGAAGCUGGAUUCGCUAGUAAUCGCGCAUCAGCCAUGGCGCGGUGAAUACGUUCCCGGGUCUUGUACACACC